rnacentral:rRNA from 1 species
UUAAGCGACUAAGCGUACACGGUGGAUGCCCUGGCAGUCAGAGGCGAUGAAGGACGUGCUAAUCUGCGAUAAGCGCCGGUAAGGUGAUAUGAACCGUUAUAACCGGCGAUUUCCGAAUGGGGAAACCCAGUGUGACUCGUCACACUAUCAUUAACUGAAUCCAUAGGUUAAUGAGGCGAACCGGGGGAACUGAAACAUCUAAGUACCCCGAGGAAAAGAAAUCAACCGAGAUUCCCCCAGUAGCGGCGAGCGAACGGGGAGGAGCCCAGAGCCUGAAUCAGCAUGUGUGUUAGUGGAAGCGUCUGGAAAGGCGCGCGAUACAGGGUGACAGCCCCGUACACAAAAGCGCAUGUGCUGUGAGCUCGAUGAGUAGGGCGGGACACGUGGUAUCCUGUCUGAAUAUGGGGGGACCAUCCUCCAAGGCUAAAUACUCCUGACUGACCGAUAGUGAACCAGUACCGUGAGGGAAAGGCGAAAAGAACCCCGGCGAGGGGAGUGAAAAAGAACCUGAAACCGUGUACGUACAAGCAGUGGGAGCACCCUUUGGGUGUGACUGCGUACCUUUUGUAUAAUGGGUCAGCGACUUAUAUUCUGUAGCAAGGUUAACCGAAUAGGGGAGCCGGAGGGAAACCGAGUCUUAAUUGGGCGUUAAGUUGCAGGGUAUAGACCCGAAACCCGGUGAUCUAGCCAUGGGCAGGUUGAAGGUUGGGUAACACUAACUGGAGGACCGAACCGACUAAUGUUGAAAAAUUAGCGGAUGACCUGUGGCUGGGGGUGAAAGGCCAAUCAAACCGGGAGAUAGCUGGUUCUCCCCGAAAGCUAUUUAGGUAGCGCCUCGUGAAUUCAUCUCCGGGGGUAGAGCACUGUUUCGGCUAGGGGGCCAUCCCGGCUUACCAACCCGAUGCAAACUGCGAAUACCGGAGAAUGUUAUCACGGGAGACACACGGCGGGUGCUAACGUCCGUCGUGAAGAGGGAAACAACCCAGACCGCCAGCUAAGGUCCCAAAGUCAUGGUUAAGUGGGAAACGAUGUGGGAAGGCCCAGACAGCCAGGAUGUUGGCUUAGAAGCAGCCAUCAUUUAAAGAAAGCGUAAUAGCUCACUGGUCGAGUCGGCCUGCGCGGAAGAUGUAACGGGGCUAAACCAUGCACCGAAGCUGCGGCAGCGACGCUGAUGCGUUGUUGGGUAGGGGAGCGUUCUGUAAGCCUGCGAAGGUGUGUCGUGAGGCAUGCUGGAGGUAUCAGAAGUGCGAAUGCUGACAUAAGUAACGAUAAAGCGGGUGAAAAGCCCGCUCGCCGGAAGACCAAGGGUUCCUGUCCAACGUUAAUCGGGGCAGGGUGAGUCGACCCCUAAGGCGAGGCCGAAAGGCGUAGUCGAUGGGAAACGGUUAAUAUUCCCGUACUUGGUGUUACUGCGAAGGGGGGACGGAGAAGGCUAUGUUGGCCGGGCGACGGUUGUCCCGGUUUAAGCGUGUAGGUGUGUGUUCCAGGUAAAUCCGGUUCACUUUAACACUGAGGCGUGAUGACGAGGCACUACGGUGCUGAAGCAACAAAUGCCCUGCUUCCAGGAAAAGCCUCUAAGCAUCAGGUAACAUCAAAUCGUACCCCAAACCGACACAGGUGGUCAGGUAGAGAAUACCAAGGCGCUUGAGAGAACUCGGGUGAAGGAACUAGGCAAAAUGGUGCCGUAACUUCGGGAGAAGGCACGCUGACACGUAGGUGAAGUGAUUUACUCAUGGAGCUGAAGUCAGUCGAAGAUACCAGCUGGCUGCAACUGUUUAUUAAAAACACAGCACUGUGCAAACACGAAAGUGGACGUAUACGGUGUGACGCCUGCCCGGUGCCGGAAGGUUAAUUGAUGGGGUCAGCGCAAGCGAAGCUCCUGAUCGAAGCCCCGGUAAACGGCGGCCGUAACUAUAACGGUCCUAAGGUAGCGAAAUUCCUUGUCGGGUAAGUUCCGACCUGCACGAAUGGCGUAAUGAUGGCCAGGCUGUCUCCACCCGAGACUCAGUGAAAUUGAACUCGCUGUGAAGAUGCAGUGUACCCGCGGCAAGACGGAAAGACCCCGUGAACCUUUACUAUAGCUUGACACUGAACAUUGAGCCUUGAUGUGUAGGAUAGGUGGGAGGCUUUGAAGUGUGGACGCCAGUCUGCAUGGAGCCGGCCUUGAAAUACCACCCUUUAAUGUUUGAUGUUCUAACGUGGACCCGUGAUCCGGGUUGCGGACAGUGUCUGGUGGGUAGUUUGACUGGGGCGGUCUCCUCCUAAAGAGUAACGGAGGAGCACGAAGGUUGGCUAAUCCUGGUCGGACAUCAGGAGGUUAGUGCAAUGGCAUAAGCCAGCUUGACUGCGAGCGUGACGGCGCGAGCAGGUGCGAAAGCAGGUCAUAGUGAUCCGGUGGUUCUGAAUGGAAGGGCCAUCGCUCAACGGAUAAAAGGUACUCCGGGGAUAACAGGCUGAUACCGCCCAAGAGUUCAUAUCGACGGCGGUGUUUGGCACCUCGAUGUCGGCUCAUCACAUCCUGGGGCUGAAGUAGGUCCCAAGGGUAUGGCUGUUCGCCAUUUAAAGUGGUACGCGAGCUGGGUUUAGAACGUCGUGAGACAGUUCGGUCCCUAUCUGCCGUGGGCGCUGGAGAACUGAGGGGGGCUGCUCCUAGUACGAGAGGACCGGAGUGGACGCAUCACUGGUGUUCGGGUUGUCAUGCCAAUGGCACUGCCCGGUAGCUAAAUGCGGAAGAGAUAAGUGCUGAAAGCAUCUAAGCACGAAACUUGCCCCGAGAUGAGUUCUCCCUGAGACUUAGAGUCUCCUGAAGGAACGUUGAAGACGACGACGUUGAUAGGCCGGGUGUGUAAGCGCAGCGAUGCGUUGAGCUAACCGGUACUAAUGAACCGUGAGGCUUAACCUU